rnacentral:rRNA from 1 species
CCUACGGGAGACAGCAGUGGGGAAUAUUGCACAAUGGGCGCAAGCCUGAUGCAGCCAUGCCGCGUGUAUGAAGAAGGCCUUCGGGUUGUAAAGUACUUUCAGCGGGGAGGAAGGGAGUAAAGUUAAUACCUUUGCUCAUUGACGUUACCCGCAGAAGAAGCACCGGCUAAAUCCGUGCCAGCCCCCUCGGUAAUACGGAGGGUGCAAGCGUUAAUCGGAAUUACUGGGCGUAAAGCGCACGCAGGCGGUUUGGUAAGUCAGAUGUGAAAUCCCCGGGCUCAACCUGGGAACUGCAUCUGAAACUGGCAAGCUUGAGUGGCGGAGAGGGGUGUAGAAUGCCAGGUGUAGCGGUGAAAUGCGUAGAGAUCUGGAGGAAUACCGGUGGCGAAGGCGGCCUCCUGGACGAAGACUGACGCUGAGGCGCGAAAGCGUGGGGAGCAAACAGGAUUAGAUACCCCGGUAGUC